GUGGGGAAUAUUGGACAAUGGGCGAAAGCCUGAUCCAGCCAUGCCGCGUGUGUGAAGAAGGUCUUCGGAUUGUAAAGCACUUUAAGUUGGGAGGAAGGGCAGUAAGUUAAUACCUUGCUGUUUUGACGUUACCGACAGAAUAAGCACCGGCUAACUUCGUGCCAGCAGCCGCGGUAAUACGAAGGGUGCAAGCGUUAAUCGGAAUUACUGGGCGUAAAGCGCGCGUAGGUGGCUUUGUAAGUUGGAGGUGAAAUCCCCGGGCUCAACCUGGGAACUGCCUCCAAAACUACUGAGCUAGAGUACGGUAGAGGGUAGUGGAAUUUCCUGUGUAGCGGUGAAAUGCGUAGAUAUAGGAAGGAACACCAGUGGCGAAGGCGACUACCUGGACUGAUACUGACACUGAGGUGCGAAAGCGUGGGGAGCAAACAGGAUUAGAAACCCCGGUAGUCC
rnacentral:rRNA from 1 species